UGGGGAAUUUUGGACAAUGGGCGCAAGCCUGAUCCAGCAAUGCCGCGUGCAGGAUGAAGGCCUUCGGGUUUUAAACUGCUUUUGUACGGAACGAAACGGCUCUGGUUAAUACCUGGGGCUAAUGACGGUACCGUAAGAAUAAGCACCGGCUAACUACGUGCCAGCAGCCGCGGUACUACGUAGGGUGCGAGCGUUAAUCGGAAUUACUGGGCGUAAAGCGUGCGCAGGCGGUGAUGUAAGACAGAUGUGAAAUCCCCGGGCUCAACCUGGAACCUGCAUUUGUGAGUGCAUCGCUGGAGUGCGGCAGAGGGGGAUGGAAUUCCGCGUGUAGCAGUGAAAUGCGUAGAUAUGCGGAGGAACACCGAUGGCGAAGGCAAUCCCCUGGGCCUGCACUGACGCUCAUGCACGAAAGCGUGGGGAGCAAACA
rnacentral:rRNA from 1 species